AAGGAUACAGAGGCAGAUACGCAUGUCAACUGUUCGCCAUCAGCAUUGUAGGCAGUAGCAAGCACAUGGUAUCUACCAGGUGGAAUAGCCCAAGGGAGGGAAAUGGUAGCUUGCUUGGUGAUGAUACCAGGUUCAACGGGACAUUCAACAGCAGCAAGUUCGUAAGCCUUAUCGCAAAUGUCCAAGCGCUCAUUCACAAUUCGAACAAAUCCAUACUUUACCUGAAUAUCCACGUAACUGCCAUUCAACACGGUAGUACCAACAUUAAUCUCAGUCUCAAUGGUAAGGUUUUUACCGGCAGCUGGGGGAUUCGGUAUCAAAUUAAUGUAGUCAACGACAACAUGGUCAUCGCCACGAUCCCAAUCGGCACAAUAGCUGGCAGGAUUGGCUCCAGGGAUCUUUUCACUGGUAGAUGAUACCAAAUCGGUAGACUUUGACUCACCAAAUGAGAAAGAAGAAAACCAAGAACUGGCACUUAUAAAGAUGGGCAAACAAGUGAUUGCGUAAAUAAAAGUUGUUAAUCUCAUGGUGUCUGUAUUGUAUAAAUCUUAUAUUAGAGAAGGAAAAAAAGGAUAAUAAACUAUAUGUAAAUGGAUGCAGACUUU